UUAACAUUUCACAUUUUCAGAUGGAAGCCGUGUCUGCUGUGGUAUCACCUAUGCUGGAGCAGCCUCAUGGAUCUAUUUUCCCCUUUGAUGACUCUAACUCACUCACCAGAUGGAUGAGAGGCACUGCCAGCUGCCUGGGAAGGCUGUCACUGCUGAGGUUGGCAUCCCGUGAGCUGUACAGGUUAUAAACAUGCAACCAGCAAUUAUGUUUGGAAGGCAGCAGCGUUGCACCUGAUGAUGUCAUGAAAUAUUGACAACUCUUGCUCUGUCUCCGAAAGAGAAGUGAAAAGCUCUGGGGACACCAUUGGCUGUGAUGUUCUGCUAAAUGCAUUUUUGUCAGCGUGUGUGAUAUCUGCCCCAGCCAGCUGGUGCCAGUGGUUGUGCUCACGCUGCUCAGGGCCAGAGCAUGGUGACCAUAUCCAGGACACAGAGAACUUGUCCAUGACUGUCCUUCCAACGCCAAGCAAUGCAGUGGGACUGGACAUGAUUAAUGUUUCUUCUGUGUUUUCUCAGUUCAAAGCGAAGAAACAAGAGAACCACGUUGCAUCUGAGAGCAGUUACUUUGAUAGCAUGAAGCUGAGGAUAUCCUAGGCUGCUAUGUACUAAGCCAUGUGGCUGAGGCCACGCAGAAACUGGUGCCUGGGGGUGUCUGUGGGGGACAGUGCUGGAGGAUGGAGUGGGCUGAAGGAAGCCAGUCCCAGAGCAGAUUACCCAUACCACCUCCUCAGACUGUCCAGGAUGAGCCAUUCUCUCCACUGCUCCUGGGACUGUCAGAGGAAACCAGCUGUCCCAUACCCAGAGGAAAAGCAAAUGAAUAUGGUGCUUCUCUGGGGUGGAUACACAGUGGCUGGAAGUCAUGGAAGUAGCUGAGCUGGCUCACAGGCUAGAUGAGGGGCUGACAGCACAGACAGAACACCAUCCAAUCUCACCUAUUUUGUCAUAUGUCAGUGACCUUAUCUCACUAUCAGAGGGCAAGAUCAAGAAAGCUUCCUGGAAAUAGCACUGUGACCCCAGUUCUCACUGACUUAGGGAUGUGAGAGAAACCUGAAUUUGGUUGAGGUCCAGAGGAAUUUUACACUGCUCUGAGUGCAGCAUAUCCACAUGGGACACUGCCGGAAGGAGAGGUCUUGCUCCUCCCCAUCCCUGGCUGGCCUUCCUGCUGCGCUUCCGUCAUCCCAUAGCUACUGAGCGGCCAGCCACUGGGCUGGAGCCAUCUGCCUGAAAGAGACUCCAACAAUUAAAUACUGCCAGGCUGUACCCCAUUUCAGAGCAACCCCUAAUCCUCAGUCACAGGAGGAAAUGAGCCAGCAGGAUUGUCCUGGGACCCAGCUGCAUGCCCCAUCCUGCUCUCUCCCACAUCACUCCUGGAAUUUCCCCUCCUCUCAGCUCAGUGCAGUGCGGUAUGUGGUAGGUGUCUCAUAGCUGUUGGGCAUGGGGAAGCAUCGGAAUGCGGCAGGGGGGACUGGGGAGGUUGGCCACCCCAAGGACAAGUGGGAGCACUUGGGUGACUCAGCUACAACUGCAAUCUCUGUCCGCAGAAAUGAAAGUGACUCGGCUGCACCCCACCCCUGUCAGAAGGCACUGAGCAUGCUUUAACUUGCAGAAAUGGAGCUCACAUCUUUACCAUUCUUCUUAACUUCCCUGGGUCAGGCCAGCCCUAGCUAGAGAAACCUUCAGUAAUUUCCUCGUGGAAGACAAGAAGCCUGGUUAGUGCUGUGCAAAUGAGGGCAAGAGGCACCUCAUCUAAGUGCACAACAGCCUCCAGUUUACAAGGUAUGCCUUGAGCUACUCGCUGAGAGGGGAAUUUUCACUGUGUGCCUUUUGACAAAGAAACCUGAACAAAUGGGGACUACCAAAUUCGAGUGAAAAGGCACUGAGUAGCAGUCACCUGCCAGCACAGACACUUCCAGAUGCAAAUAAAUAGAUACUCACGAAUAACCUUAUGUCUAAGAAAUGCAGCUUAAGGGUCACAGCCUUAGUAGGAAUGGACAGACAGACUUCAGUUUUGCUCUUCCUAGUAAAUUGGGAAUAGAUGUUCAUGGGGAUUCACCAUGUAAUAAGCUUGUUAGUAAGAACAAUGUCCUACCUGGACUGUAACAUGAAAAAAAAAGGCAAAAUAAAAAGUAGUCUAGAAACUUAGAUUUUAGGCUUGGGCCAGAGACGUUCAGCCAUGGACCAACAUCUCUGGCUCCAGCUGGGCCUGGGUACUUGUACUUUGUGCAUACUUUUGCAUUUUCUUUCUGCUGGAAAAACGAUACCUUUCUGCCAGCUGAUGGAAAGCACCCCAGGAAAACACCAAGUGCAGCUUCCCCUUUGGCUAUCAACACAGUGCCAGGGUAGAGACGUCAGACUGAUUCCUGUACAGACAGUUGUCCAGCCGCAAUCUUGCCUUCCACUUUUCAUGUAGUGUUGACUGUUCUGGUCACAGUUACCCCAGCCAAGAUACUUUACUGUGCUCUUUAAUCCCUCUUUAUGACUUGCUAACAUUUGGAAACCUCUCUGUUGCUGCCCAGCUUCCCAUGAAGGCAGAAAAAAAUGAGUUCACUGCCUAAACUUCCUCUCUCUGCCUCAGCCAGGAAGUGUCCUCAGUCUUCUCAGCCUGCAGAAGGAAAGAGCUAAGGGAAUCUAGCUACAGGGCAACACGAGUCACAGGUGUUGAGGUUGAGGACAUGAGCCAACAGCAGUAGAGUGCUGAGAUGCAGUGCGAGGGAUUAAGGGAACACAAAGUAUCAGUGAGGGUGGAAAUAGGUGUGGGGAAAUGGGCCUCCACCCGGCAUUGCAAAAACCUGGCAUGAACCAAGGCAGCAACCUCUGAAGGCUGUAAUGAAGAAGAGGGCAACAGUGCUGUGAUGAAACAAACACACAAAGCUUGUGGAGACACAAAAUGUCUUUCAAACACUAUGGGGGCUGUGCCUAGGGCUAAUGCAAGCGAGGAGGGAGCCAUUUGCAAUGCAAUCCUGUCUGAUUUCUUUUUAAAUGUGUGGGCUUUUCUCCUUGCUUUCUUGCAAAAUGUCUCAUCCUAAUGUGCAAAAAUACUCCUUUUGUCCUUGUUAUCUUUUCAUUCUUCUCUGGAAGAUGCUUUUAGGUCUUUUCUCUAUGAUGCUGAAGAAGUUCACUUGGCUGCUUCCAGGAAACUGUGGCUUUUUGUGAUAAGCUCUAUGGGGACCAUCCCUGUGAGCUGCUGUGUAUCAACAGCAGGCAAUGCCUGCCUCCUGUAGGUCUUCAUCACCUCCAAGAGUGAUGCAAGGGUACUUGAAAUUACUUCUGUAUCUCCUUGUUGAGACCACAUCUAUCAGCUUCCUCUACUUAAAAUGAUGGGCUUGCAAUGAGCCCUUGUACUAGCCAUUUUGGUAGCUGUACAGCUGCCCCAAAGCAAGCCGCUCUGCAAGUAUCUUUUAUAGUGAGCUCCUACCACAUCUCUUUUGUUAUCCACUCAAAUAGGAACAACUCUCUGUGUUUCUUCACAGUAAUACUAAUGUUCAGGGGUAGGUCAGCUUUCAGAAUCUUGCAACAGUUACUCAGAUCAAGGUUCAAAAGAAAGAGGAAUUGUAUCCUUGGAGCCUCCUGCCUCCACAGAAACCUCAAUGUACUUCUCAUUGAGAGAAAAGAAUUCAUGCUCUCUGAGUCAGUAUACUUUGAUUCUUUGUCCUAACUGCAGGAAAAUGAGUACCUCUCAAGAUGUAAAACAAAUCCACACACUUUUGGGAAUAGAUAUCAUGGAAUCAUAGAAUGGCCUGGGUUGAAAAGGACCACAGUGAUCAUCGAGUUUCAACCUCCCUGCUAUGUGCAGGGUUGUCAGCCACUAGACCAGGCUGCCCAGAGCCACAUCCAGCCUGGCUUUGAAUGCCUCCAAGGUUGGGGCAUCCAAAGCCUCCUUGGGGAACCUGUUCCAGUGCGACACCACCCUCUGUGUGAAAAAAAUCCUCCUAAUAUCUAACCUAAACCUCCCCUGUAAUUGGAUUUAGUGCUUCAUGCUGAAGCUCAGCAGGCAGGGUGUCCAGCCCUGCCUGCUGUCUCUCUGCCAGGACUUCACCUGUGCCUCAGAUAGUGGCCCUGGUGCCCAGCACUCUGCAAUAACAGGAAAGGUUGGGUUUCAUCUGAGGUUCAGCCCAGCCAUGAGGAAUUACUCCUGGCCUUUCAGAAGCAUGUAUAGCCAUCAUCUCUCACCUUUUUAAAUAGAAGUGAGUCUCUGCUGUUUCCCACGCCUCCAGCGAGCCUUUUUGUGAGAGGUGCUGUGUUAAUCUGCAGCCAUUGCUGCUAUUCCGAGCCCACCAGUGUUUUUCACCUGCUGCGGAAGGAUAAUGCAGAUGGUCUAAAAUAGAUGUGCAAAUUCUGCUGAUCCAAGCAGGAUUCAUAGUGAUGAUGGAGAGUGGAAAUAUAAAGACCAUUAUUAUUUUUUUUAAUGGUGCCAAAAGUAUGGGAGGCAAAUGUAGGAUGACAAAAAAGGAGACGUCAGGCCCACACAUGAACCCAUGUGAUAUUCUGAUGCUGUACAGAGAUCCUAUAUUUCCCUGAAAGAAUACGCUCUGAAGCAUUGCCCCACAGAGUGCCAGAGAGGGCUGUGUGUUUCCAGACCUGAAUUCAAAGCUCUGCUGAGUGUGCCCAGCACUGCCUGAGUAUUCAGAUGGGCUUAUAGGCCAGCAGCAGAGCAAUUUGGCAUGCUAUGUACCUGACUUGGUGCAAUGUACCAAGGACCAGAAACAUGGGUAUGAAUCCACAGGCAGCUAAAUCUGUAGGACCAACUUACAUGUAAAAUCUUUCCAGCAAUACUGCCAUUUAGAAAUAAGAUUAUUUUUGCUAACAUAGUUACACCACUUAAAGCAUUUGUAUAGAUUUUGUUACGCUGGUAUAAAUUCCUUUUUACUUAGAUUUGCUUCCUAUAAUGAAAUAAGAUGUUGGUACUCUGCAAUAUUACAAGAUACAGUUCCCAUUGAGCAACCUUUGAUCAUCUUAGUCUACUAGAAGAAAUGUUAGCAAAUGUUAGCAAAAUCUGUGUCUCUGUUUGAUGAAGUUGCUGAGAUCCUCCAUCUGACACAUUCUUGAUAAAACUGCGGUGCAAAAGAAUUUGUUUAAGUAUUCAUCUAUUUUGAUACACUGUAAUCCAUAUUUAGCUUUGAUGGGGAAACAUGGGGACUGCAUUCUAAUGGUGAGGUCCUCUACAUCACAUGCCUGAAUGUCACCCAUGGUGUCUGAGAUUGUGAGGGGUGGGAAGACAGGGAGACAAACACUGUCGAAGGCUGGAGGAAAGGGCUGCAUGCUGGUUGCAUGCAGACAGGUGGGCAGGUAAGGCACCUGCGAAGGAAUGUUUGGCUGUGGGACUUAGCUAUAAGGGAAGCAGUCAGAAACCCAUCAGGGUUUGGAGACUCCAAACUGAACGAAAUGUAAAUCCAUUUGCCAGUGAGCUGAAAGGGCAAGAAAGUUGGAGGUGUUAACUGAAAAAGCAAAAGAAAUUAAGGCCAUUGUUCUAUGAGGGGGAGGCACACUCAUAAUGUGAAGGAAAGAGCCAGAGGAAAGUGAGCUACAAUGGAUGGUUUGAGCCAGUCUUAUAGCCUGUGGCCACUGAAAGAGGAAGGUCCCACUUCUCCACCCACUCUCUCCCUUCCUACUUAGCCAGAUGCUGCCCCUGCCCCCACUCCUCUGGUUUUCAAUUCACUAUUGUAAAUUCAACCUGAUAAAACCCCACAGGAAGAAGGCAAGCUAAAAUCAUAGAAUCACAGAAUCAUUUGAGUUGGAAGGAAAGUUUUAAGGUCAUCUAGUCUGACACCCCAUAAUGAAUGGAGAUAAAAGGAGCUAGAUCACACUGCUCAGAGACCUCUGCAGCCUGACCUUGAGUGUCUCCAGCAUCGGGGCAUUCACACCUCUUUGGGCAGCCUGUUCCAGUGCCUCACCACCCUUAUCAUUAAAACCUUUUUUCUUAUGCCUAGACAAAAUCUCCCCUCUUUUAGUUUGAAACCAUUUCCCCUUGUCCUAUCACAGCAGACCCUGCUAAAGAGUCUCCUCCUUCUUAUCUUAUCCCCCUUAGAUACUGAAAGCUCUCAGGUCUUCCCGAAACCUUCUCUUCUCCAGGCUGAACAGCCCCAGCUGUCUGCCUGUCCUCACAGGGGAGGUGUUCCAUCCCUUGAAAAAAGCUUUGAAAUAGUUUCUGUAAAAUUAGUAAGUUGAACUGGUCCACAGAGAAAUCCAGAGAGACAUCAGCUCCUGACACUCAACAGGGGAGAAGAACUUGCUGGAGGGGUCAGGGUGAGAUGAAGCUCCCCCUGCCCACAGCCCUGAGGUGUUAAGUUGUCUCCAAUGCCUUAAGUAACAGCCUGAGAAGCUGCAAAGUAAUGAUGGCAUGUUUGUAUUGAGGAGACAGAGAGGUAGACUGGGAUCAGUAGUAAGAAGGGAAAAAAGGCAGUUGAAAACUGCUCUUAUGAGCAAUUUGUUUAAUGCUGAAUGCAUGCAGGUGGAGGGACAGAAGCAAGAAAAAAUGUGAGUUAGAAAUGCAGAAAUGCUUAUACAAGAAUAAUGGAAUCCAACGAAAGAUAAAGUGGAAAGGACAGACAGAUGCAGAUUUACUUGGUUAUGUAAAAGGCUGUAGCAUUCUCAUUAGUAAUCUUGGCCUUUGGCACAUGAGAAGUAACAGUGGUCACUGCACAUGGUCCUAAUGCCUGGAUUUUCAUCCCUACCUGUUCCACCCAUCUCCCUGCCUACUUCAGAGGUUGAUCUACUUGCAUUCAGAUAGGCAUACGUCCUCCCUGUACUGCCCAGGUCUUGCAGAAGGAACCAAGGACCUUGGGGAUAUGGGUGUCCCUUCUCUCAGCUUAAAUCUGGUGCUAGUCUGCAUUGGUCUUGAGUCCUGGAGCUGAGCAUGCUCAGUACAGACAGUCCCUGGGGAACUGAGAUGUGAAAAUCCUGUGAAUUUCUUCCUGAAGGCAUGUGAUCUGAAAUUUCUCCAAAGGCUUCUGUAACUUGACCAAAUUUGGGCAGAUUGUUCCAAAAACAGCAAAACUCCAUUCUCUGACUGAAAGCCAUCUCCCUGGUAGAUGUGAAGCCCUGCUGCAGCAUGUUGGGGCACUGCAGCUUUUCCAAAAUAAGUCGUCUGCCAAAACUGUAGGCUAAACAGCGUUCAUUCCUCAAACUCAUCCUUGGAAAUGGUUUCUGCUGUAGUUUCCUCUUUGCUCCUAACUCACGGCAAAGCUAUCAUUUAGGCAUGAAAAGAUCAGACCUGGAAGCUGGAAGUUUUGUGUCAGGUAGCACUCAUCCUCUGCAGAUGUCUUUCCAUACCAGCAGAUGAUGCCAGGAGACCAAUAUUUUCAGCAUAAUUGAAAGGGAGAAGUUCUUUUCUUCCCUUCUUCAUUAAUGGGAAAUGCCACAUGCAGCCACUCUGGAGGAAUGUGGGGCAGGAAGGGCUGUUUGUGUUACCCACUAAGAAAUUACAUGGUGGUGGUGACAGCCUGGUCUAGGGGACCAGGAGCCUGCUCAGAGGGGGAGAAAAUGGGACCUCAGGCUCAACAUCACCUCUCCCCCGAUGGCAAAGAGCAUAGAGACUCCCACCUUUGGGGUGGUGCAUCAGCCAGGUGUCUGAAAGAAGAUGCUAUCAGUAACCUUCCAUCUUGUCUGCUGCAGGGGUGGGAGCAUGGUUGCUGAGCAGGGUGUGUGUGGUUGAGGAUGAAAUAAACAUAAAAUAAACACCCUUAUUUACAUGUUGAGGAUGCCAAGGUGCCUGAGGCUUGAGGAAUUGGCACUGCUUGGGUGAGGAAUGAGAGCCCAGUCCUGGUUCCAUUACAGGGCAGCCCAGCUGCUGGCCUCUCACUUCACAGUGUGCAUGCCUUUCUCUUCAGCUCCUGUCCCUGUACGUGCCUGCUCUGUCCCACGGAGUGGUGAGGGGAGGGCCCCAAGGCCUGGCCACCUCACAUGGCCUGGUGUCCAUGGGUAGGUCUACGGGCAGCAGGAAGGGGCUUUAGGGCAGAGAGGUCCCAAAGCUGGGGCCAUUUGUACCCCUUUUCAUAUCUUCAUUUUGCUCUGAAAUAUUCUGAGAAGCACCUCAAUUUGGCACCAAUCUGUGCAGAACCCAGCUAAGGGGUUUGCAGCUGGCACUAUAGCAAGACUGUGAAAACAUGGCUUUUUUCCCCUACAAAAGAGCUGCUGGGGAUGCUUGCAUAUGAGAAUGAUUGUAUACCUUUCACUGGGCUGCCCAGGCCUCCAGAGACCCUGUGUGGCAGCACAGAGCAUCGCAGGCUGUGCCUUGAUUUGUUAUUUAUUCUACAAUUCAGAGCCCAGAACAAAAAACUGUUGCCCUAAGAGCAUUCCUCCUGUCCUGCCCUGGCCUGCCAGCCCAGCCAGCUCAGCUGAACAUGGGUUGAUGUUUCUGGGCCUCAGACAUCACCUCCAGUUCUGGGCAUCUGAAGGAAGCUGCACAGCAAUAGUCGCAGUCCCUCUGCACAUGGAAGGGAAUUAAAUUAGCAAAAAGCAGGGGGAUGAGGGAUACAUGAAAGCCUAAACAUUUGUUCAUCAAGGCCUCCUAUUUCCUUGCAUAGGUCAGAGGUGCAAAGGCUAUUCACUGCUGUUCCCCAGCAGAGUAACAACCAAAACACGGUCCUACUCAUCUUCACUGUUAACUUUCCACAUGGUUUUUCUCUGCUAUACAAAGAAGAGCUGAAGGAGGUGAGAAAGAGAGCUGGAAGGGAAAGAGGGUUGGAAAGCAGAUGUGGGGACAAGAGGAGCUCUGGGGAGCACCUGGGAAUUUGUUUUUGGGGAGGAGGGAGGGAGUCCCAUGUCCUCCCCCGUGUGGGCAAUGGGAGAAGCGCCCAGGAUGAGGCCACCACAGUCUUGUCCCAGGGCCCUGAAAGGCAGAACUGUCUGUUUUGCUGAGGCCGUGCUCUUUUGUUACCGAGGCAGCUUUCCUUUGUGCAAGGCACUCGGUGUUGCAGGGUCACCAGUGGCCAUCAUGCCCUCGUGGCUCCUACUGCAGGCACCUCUGUCUUUGGGAAAUCUCUCAGCCACACAGAUUGGCAGGGAAAAAUGAGUUCCCAGCUGCUGGGGCAGCUCGGAAACACCACAGGAUUUUGAUCUGGGACACAGCAAAGGCUAAGUUCACCUGGCUUUGCCUUCCCAAGCAGCCAAUCUGUCAGAAUGAACUGGAAAGCCCAUGUGCAUGGUUCUCCCCUUCGGCCUGCACACACAGGCCUGCUGCCGUGUGAAGCGGGAUAGGGGGAGGUGGAAACGCAGCGGUGAUUUCCCCUGGUUCUGUUUGUGAUUCCAGCUGUGCUUACUUCCCUUUCUGACGGUCGGAGGGAACUGUGACUUAUUUGUUCUGUCAAGAACACGUUGUUCCUCUUCCUACUUCACCUGUCAUUGGAUUGCUACGGGGUAGUGCUUUAAACAUUGGUGGAACAAAGGGGACACCUUAAUUUAAGUGUAAAAGAAUGCUUUCUUUCUACCUAACAAGUGAUAGCUAGCUAGUAGAAUCAUUUAUUUGCACCUCCCAGCCGUGUGAAUCAUGAUUAUUCAUGUGAGAAAGAGACUUUGAUCUCUCUGCAUGUACUUACCAGUUAUUUAACU